AGGUCACUGAGCAUGCAUGACACUGACACAGCUCCUUCAAAAAGAUGAAAAAUCACAGCUUCCAUGUGGGUUUUAUACUAUCAACAUAAUAUCCAAGCACCUUCCCACAUAAAAUCAAUAGAAGCAGCAAGUCCCUUGUGGAUUUAAUGGAGUUUCUGGCACUUCUCCCUUUUGGGAAUAAAAACACUACUUGAGGUACGCACCUUUUGAGGAGUCCACAUUCUGCGUUGGCUGCCAGUUCACUUCCUGGUGAAAUGCCUGGUACUGGUUGUUAUGUCUCCCAAAAGCCAAAAAUGCCUUUUAAUUAACAACAGUGACUCUAAUGGGAUCAGAAUUACAAUAAGAAGGAAAAUAAAGUAACAACAAGAAUGGAUCAAGUUGGCACAAUGAGAGAAUCCUUAUUUCCAAGUGUCAUGCAGCACCACUUCUCUCUUGGGUUCAGUCUCCAGCCUUAGUUUUGCAGUCUACAGCCUAGAAAGUUUUCAAAAAUGCUCAACAACUCAGCUCCCAGUGACAGGGCUGCCACCUCUCCCUUUUUGUUUGAGUGGCUGUCCCAGGACUUCUUUAAGUGUAAUCAGAACACACCGCCAGUUGUCCAGUUUUAUGGGCUCAGGAUCAUCCCAGAUGUCUCUCUUUUGUAUCUCAGAGUGGGCCACUGUACUCAAUAAAGUCAAUAGGAGUUCUGACUUCAGUAGAAGCAGUUAAGUCAAUUCUGAACACUUUCGAAAGUCCCACCCCAAAGGUGCAGUAACCACACUUCGCUUAUGUCUACACUGCAAUUGGGAAGUGUGAUUGCAGCCCAUGUAUACAUAUCCUAGCUCUAGUAACAAUAGCAGUGAAGCUAUGGCAGCGUGGGCAAUCCUGCCUGCUUCGGACCUAGGGUACAUACUUGAGCACUCUGCAGUUUAUACUGCUAUAAAGAUGAACUCUGUGCUCAAUCAUGGCAUUUGCAUUUGGGAGGAACCUUUCAGCUAUCUGUCCUAAAAGUGGAGCCUGUGGAGAGUUAGAGCUCUGAGUCCUCCAGUUCCUACAGAGGACUAUAAUAUGUUGGUUAGGAUGCUUCAGGGUUACCUUCCUGAGAACUCUUGCACCUGUUGUAAAUGCAUGAGUCUCUUUAUGCUCCUUGUUCCUUCCUCCACCACAAUAUUACAGGAGCCAGGGGCAAGGUAUGGUCAGGACCCUCGAGAUUUUGCUGUACCUGGAAGUAUACCUGAGCUCAAGCCUGGCUGCUUUUAGAUCAUUCUUUAAGCACCUUUUUUGUUAGCCUUUCUCCUCACCAUAGGUUUCUGGAAAACCUCUGGCAUUUAGUCUCUUGGCAGGUAUUCCCUUUCAGCUGAUCCUUUCUGGAUAGCUGGUAUAUGCUCCCUGUUUUGAGGAAUGUAUUUUGAAUUCCUGAUUUAAAGUAUGUAAAGUGUACCCAGAUGUUGUAAUAAGAGUAAUAAAACUAUAAGGUCACCACGAUUUAG